UACAGAGGUCUCGAGCGUCAGUCGGAAUCACUGGGCUUAAAGCGUACGUAGGCGGAUAUGCAGGCGUCGUGUGAAAUCCCCGGGCUCAACCCGGGAACUGCACGGCGAACCGCAUGUCUUGAGAUCGGUAGGGGCGGUCGGAACGAUAGGUGGAGUGGUGAAAUGCGUUGAUAUCUAUCGGAACGCCGAAGGUGAAGACAGGCCGCUGGGCCGACUCUGACGCUGAGGUACGAAAGCGUGGGUAGCGAACGGG
rnacentral:rRNA from 1 species